GGUCUCACUAUGUAGCUCAGGCUGGCCUUGAGCUCACUUUGUAGCCCAGGCUGGUCUCAAACUCCAACAAUCCUCCUGCCUCAGCCUCCCGAGUGCUGGGAUUACAGGCGUGAGCCACCAUGCCUG
rnacentral:miRNA from 1 species